ACCAAUCAGAGCCCAGAGGCGGGUCUUAGCGCUGUCAAUCACUAUGUAGCUAGCAUAGCAUGUUGUGAAUGCUGAGGCUCGUUAGCAUAGCCAUUAAUGACGGCAGAUAAACAGUUUUCCUGGUUCUCUGCUAUUAGC